rnacentral:lncRNA from 1 species
CGAUGUGUUCGCUUUCUACAGAAACCGAGAUCGACAUCGUGGUCGCUUAGAUGUGUUCUCCGCUUAAGGCUAUAACAUUAAAGAAAAUCAUUUAAAUCGGAUGAGAGGCUUAGGAAAUUCGAGACAUCAAAAAUGACCAAUUUUUAAGAUGGUGGUGCAUUCAUUUUUUAGAGUAGUGUAUUUGAAAUAGGAACAUUUCCAAAUUCGUUUAUAGCUCUCUUGCUCAUGAACUCACCGAGUUAAAUCCAAAUAUUCGUAAUUAUUUUUAUAAAUAUUCUUGAAUACAAAUUAUUAAAGAUAAUUCGAUGCGACUAAACGUUUUAAUUUAUAUUUAAUUUGUCCUUUGUCCUGAUCAAUAUAUUAGCAAUAUUAAAGUCAGUAUAAUGAUUACCAACUCAAUAUAUUUCUGCUCUAAAUUGACCUGCAACGUUAAUGUUUAGAGAAUUUCAUUUAGCGUUUUUCCAAAAUUAAAUCAAAAAUUAAGUUCUCUAUAACCGUACAUGUGUUAGCUGGACUAUACUUGUGUCUGUUUUAUAGAAUAGUAUAUCGUUUAUGAACGAAAAUAAUUUAAAUUACAAUUUAUGGUGACACAAGUGUAGUAGAAAAUACAACAUAAACUAAUCAUAUUUUAUUUUUUAGGUUAGGUUGAAUUUGUUUGGAACGUCAAAGGAAUUGUUAUAGAAAUGGAACUAAUAGUAUGAAGAUGCGAAAAUAAAGGAGAGCAUUUAAUGGCUGUUUCAGGAAGAUUUGAACUUCAAGAUGGGACAGACAUGAGAUAGAGAAAAAUUAUUUGUUUUAAAAGAGAGAAAAAAAAAAAUAAAGAUUUAAAGGAUA